CUACGUGCCAGCAGCCGCGGUAAUACGUAGGUGGCGAGCGUUGUCCGGAAUUAUUGGGCGUAAAGGGAGCGCAGGCGGACAUAUAAGUCCAUCUUAAAAGUGCGGGGCUCAACCCCGUGAGGGGAUGGAAACUGUAUGCCUUGAGUGCAGGAGAGGAAAGCGGAAUUCCCAGUGUAGCGGUGAAAUGCGUAGAUAUUGGGAGGAACACCAGUGGCGAAGGCGGCUUUCUGGACUGUAACUGACGCUGAGGCUCGAAAGCCAGGGGAGCGAACGGGAUUAGAUACCCCGGUAGUCCUGGCCGUAAACGAUGAAUGCUAGGUGUAGGAGGUAUCGACCCCUCCUGUGCCGGAGUUAACGCAAUAAGCAUUCCGCCUGGGGAGUACGGUCGCAAGACUGAAACUCAAAGGAAUUGACGGGGGCCCGCACAAGCGGUGGAGUAUGUGGUUUAAUUCGACGCAACGCGAAGAACCUUACCAGGGCUUGACAU
rnacentral:rRNA from 1 species